UUCUGGUUGAUCCUGCCGGAGGUCACUGCUAUUGGGAUUCGACUAAGCCAUGCGAGUCGAGAGGGUUCGGCCCUCGGCUGACUGCUCAGUAACACGUGGAUAAUCUAGCCUAAGGUGGAGGAUAAUCUCGGGAAACUGAGAAUAAUACUCCAUAAAUCUAGGAUGCUGGAAUGUGCCUAGACUAAAAGCUGCGGUGCCUAAGGAUGGGUCUGCGGACUAUCAGGUAGUAGUCAGGGUAAAGACCUGACUAGCCUACGACGGAUAUGGGUUGUGAGAGCAAUAACCCGGAGAUGAUAUCUGAGACACGAUAUCAGGCCCUACGGGGCGCAGCAGGCGCGAAAUCUUCACACUGUGCGAAAGCGCGAUGAGGGAAUCCCAAGUGUAUGCACGUAAGUGUAUA
rnacentral:rRNA from 1 species